UUUGAGCAAGAUAUAGAAACUUGUUUAAGUAAAUAAUUCCUUAAUAUUGAUUAAAACAACUGUUAGUUAUUUAUAAUAUGAAACGUUAUGUGAAAUAAUCUGAAGAUGUAAGAAAUUAAACAAAUAGACCAUUCAGUCAGUCUUUAAACAGAAAAAUAAAACAAAUUUAAAGCUCUCACAUCUCUAUAUUUCCUCCUUCCGUAUCACAGACGGCUCCCAUAUGUGAGCAUUUAUCAGAGCUAGCUUGGUAAAUCUGGCUAAUCGCUGCUAAUAUUCUCCAUCAAAAUGAGAAAAUUGACACUUGGCUAUUGAGAUUUUUUCUUUUAAAUUCUAUACUUCUUUAAAAAUAUAUAUUGAGCCAGCCAGGUUGGCUGGCCUUCUACUUAAGAAUCUGUAAGUACACUUCUGUCUGUUUUGUCUAUAUUGUAUCAAAUUUUAGGGAGAUUUUUAAAUCGCUAUUUAAAACGUGUUGUUCGUAAUGGUUCGGAUGACCGGAGUACCCCAAAAGAGACCUAAUUACUUGUUUCUUUUUUUUUUUUUUUUUUUUGCUUUUCUUUUAGGUGAUUUUUUUUUUAAUAUAUAUUUUUAAAACACACACACAAUAAGUCAUCUGCCAUCGUUAAGAGUACUAUGGAGAAGCGCGACAAAGGCUUGCAAAGGCAGAAGCAACAUCCGAUCUUCAAACAGAUGAUAUUCCAGAAAAGUGACUAGAAGGUAAUGUGGAACAGGGACUUCUGUAACACACAACUCUAGAUCUUCUGUCUCCCUAGUUGUCAUUUGAGCUGCUCUGUUAUUUUACCCAUUUGGUUCUCUUWGCUUUACUUUUUCCUCCUAAUCCUUCAAAAUUUAUUGUGACUUAAAUUGAUACAUAUAUUAACCAUUAAUAUUUUGUCCAUGUAUAAAAGUAAGUAUAUAAGCUAUGUGUGAAGCAAUAACAAAUCAAUUUUAAAAUGUUGUCUUGUAAUUGUCAUUAUACUUAAGGUUGCCGUGGUUGCAGAAAUUGGAGGAGGAUCUAUAGAUGAUGCAGUAAAAUGAGCUGUACGAUAAACAAUCCUAAGUUACUAAAUCAUAACUUCCUGAUAGCCUGGCUAGCUGAUUAAUACUGGUUCUGAUUGGCUAGCUGAUUAAUACUGGCUCUGAUUGGCUAGAUGAUUAAUACUGGUUCUGAUUGGCUGUUUCUGACUGAGCUGAGUAAUUCUGCAGAAAUAGGGAGGAGGUUGAGGAGAUCGAUUAUUUUCAGAGAUUAUCUUAUUUUAGGACAGCAAAAGUUUUAAUACAUAUGUAAAAUAUUUUUGUUUAAGUUACAUGCUGCAGCUUUAAGCAGACUUUCGGUGUGAGAGUUCACUGCUGGGUGGAGGUUGAGCAGCGCUACGUCUGCGAAAUAUUAUUGCCAGUAGUGGCGGUUCAAGAACGAGAGCAGAACCAGCAUCUUACACCGUUGGCGCAACGACCAAAAUCAUUUUUCGGUGUAUUUGUUGAGCUUUCUGGCCGUGAUGCUAAUCUGGGUGAAUGUCACUAGUUGUUCGCUGCUUUAACUUCUAUCUGACCACUCCAGAUGUCCUUUUGUUUCUACAUUGGGCCUCGAUGUAGCCAAACUCCCAAGUUUUUAAAUGCCAUAUUAGAUUCAUUAUGUUGGUGCAUUUGACAAGGUAAUUUUCCAACCCAACACGCAAACAUCCCCAUUCACUCAGAGCGUUAUAGUUCCAUACGACAGGAUUUGUUGUUGCGCCCUUGCGCCGUGUCACAGAAAGAGUAGAUCAGCUGCACACGCAGGCUGCAAAUGAGAUACAUGUGAUCCGCAACAAGUGACCGUGAUCGGCGAUCACCAAUCAUACACUUUUUCACGGAAAUCCACCGAUUGUGAUCGGUGGCCGAUCGAUCGGCACACCUCUAAUAUGUACAUAAUAAUAAUGACUCAAGAGUGCUUUGACUUUGGCAGAUGUCUGCAAGCAUGUCUGCCCUGUGAAGGGGAAGAUGCAAAUCUCAUUAAUGUUACAUUGUACAUUGACUGGGCAUAUCCAGAGUGCAAAUCUUCUUUCUCUUAAGCCAUUCCUUUUGCUGGAAUGCUUUGGAUCAUUGUCUUGUUGCAUAAUCCAUUUCCGUCCCAGCUUCAACUCCCUGCCUGAUGGCAGGAGAUUCUGGUCAAGAAUUUGUUGAUAGUCCUGGGAAUUGAUGGUUCCCUGGAUCAUAUGGAGUCGUCCAGGUCAGGAGGCAGAAAAGCAGGCCCAGAUUUUCACACUUCCACCACCAUGCUUCACUGUAGGGAGGAGGUACUUUUCUGUAAAUGCAAUGUUGACUUUUCUCCAAACAUGGCACUUUUGAUUGAGGCCAAAUAAUUCAUAAUUCAAUUUUGGACUCAUCCAUCCAGAGAAUGGACUUCCAGAAAGCCUCUGGUUUGUCAAAGUGCUCUCUGGCAAAGCUUAAACGGGCAACUUUGUUCUUUCUUGAGAGUAGAGGCUUCUUUCUAGAAGCUCUCCCAUGAAUACCAUGUCUAUUGAUAUUUUGCCUGAUUGGAGAUGCAUGUACAUUUAUCCCAGAUGCUGACAGAGAGGUCUGCAGCUCUCUAGAGGUGAUGCSUGGGUUGGCCUUUACCUGCAUUAUUAUUUUUCUGGUGUUUCUUUGUGGAAGUUUUGGUGGCUGUCCACUUCUGGRCAGGGUUGCGGUGAUGCCUAGUGCCCUCCAUUUGUAAAUGAUUUGUCUUACAGUGGAUGGAUGAAGCUGGAAUCUUUUGGUGAUGAUCCUGUAGCUUUCCCCAGACUGAUGGGCUGUCACCACCUUGCUGAUAUCCUCAGAUGUCUCCUUUCCUCUCAGCGUUGUCGAUCUCUUCUUUAUGCCUUGACACAACCAACCAAAUCACUUUGGUCCUCUCCCUUUCAACCAGUGUGGCCCAAAACUUUUCCCAAGGAUGUCUCAUUUGAUUUGUCUGUCUAACUGAUUACUUGAGCACUCUGAUGUGUUUCACCUGAGUCUUUUACCUAGUUGACUUUACCAGUGCAGCUGUGGUUCAUUUACUUUUGCAGAUGCUCUGAUUCCAUUUUCCAGUUAGUUUGCUUUCAACUCACACAUUUUCCUCAAAACAAGUGAAUGGAAUUGAUGAACAUAAACCUGACAUUUCAUAUUUAAAAACUGGUAAUG